AGAGUUUGAUCAUGGCUCAGAUUGAACGCUGGCGGCAUGCUUUACACAUGCAAGUCGAACGGUAACGCGGGGGCAACCCUGGCGACGAGUGGCGAACGGGUGAGUAAUACAUCGGAACGUGCCCGGUAGUGGGGGAUAGCCCGGCGAAAGCCGGAUUAAUACCGCAUACGACCUAUGGGUGAAAGCGGGGGAUCGAAAGACCUCGCGCUAUUGGAGCGGCCGAUGGCAGAUUAGCUUGUUGGUGGGGUAAAAGCCUACCAAGGCGACGAUCUGUAGCUGGUCUGAGAGGACGACCAGCCACACUGGGACUGAGACACGGCCCAGACUCCUACGGGAGGCAGCAGUGGGGAAUUUUGGACAAUGGGCGCAAGCCUGAUCCAGCAAUGCCGCGUGUGUGAUGAAGGCCUUCGGGUUGUAAAGCACUUUUAGUGGGAACGAAACGGUUCGGGCUAAUACCCUGAACUAAUGACGGUACCCGCAGAAUAAGCACCGGCUAACUACGUGCCAGCAGCCGCGGUAAUACGUAGGGUGCAAGCGUUAAUCGGAAUUACUGGGCGUAAAGCGUGCGCAGGCGGUUUUGUAAGACCGAUGUGAAAUCCCCGGGCUUAACCUGGGAACUGCAUUGGUGACUGCAAGGCUUGAGUGUGUCAGAGGGAGGUGGAAUUCCGCGUAGCAGUGAAAUGCGUAGAUAUGCGGAGGAACACCGAUGGCGAAGGCAGCCUCCUGGGAUAACACUGACGCUCAUGCACGAAAGCGUGGGGAGCAAACAGGAUUAGAUACCCUAGUAGUCC
rnacentral:rRNA from 1 species